ACGAUGAGUGAUUUGAACACUAUUAAAGAUCCCGAUUAGUCUCUUCUAAACACACAAUUACAAGAAAAUAAAAUAAAAUAAGAGAUGGAUAAAGAAGGAAGAAGAGAAAAUGGAGUUUUUUCUUACGUCUACAUCCCUUUUAAUUUCAUCCACGAGAUUCUGCAAUCUCUACUCGUCAAGUUUCUCGGUGUAAGAUCUUCUCCAAGUAAUUUUCCGAAGGUAACAGAAGAAGAGGAAGUGACAGAGGUUGUGGAAGUGUCGUCCAGGAAACUUUCAUCGCUGCUGGAAUAUAGUUCCGGCAUUCCUGGAGGUACCAACGAGUCGUUUUCCUAAUGCUUUAUUCCGGCGUGUCACCCAUGUGAAACAAAGUCAAAGCCAACGCCAGGUUAAAUAAUGUACGGAGGAAAUCUUGUACUUUUUAACAUUUAUGUCAAUUAUUGUUAUAUUUGUUAUGCUGUGUGUGUAUUCUUGGCUGUUCGUAACUUUGUAAGUUUGCUUGAGUAUUGAUUGUAAGACAAUAAAAUCGCAAAAUGAAGUGGAGUUAAAAGUAUUAAAAGU